rnacentral:misc_RNA from 1 species
AAGUCGUAACAAGGUUUCCGUAGGUGAACCUGCGGAAGGAUCAUUAACACGUGAUACUCACGUAUUAACCAAACGCGAAUUGUUGUUAAGCCUGCUACUGGAUAAUGAGCCGUACUGUUUGGGAAGGGUAUGACUUCGGUCUAACUUACAGUCUUAGCGUACUCGAUACGUAGUUCAUUUCCGUAACAGUAGAUGAAUUUCGGCUGCUUAUUAAGCGCGUACCUUCGCUUGCAGUCGGAGUGAAAACAAAUUCUAACCCCUUAUUUACUUAAUCUGAUUUUGUACGUUUAUAUCAAUUCCUGGCUUAACUGUCGGUUGAGUUUGUAUAGAUGUCGUAUAUUACUAAUACGAAACAACUCUUAGCAACGGAUAUCUUGGUUCUC